GACGUAGGAUGCGAGCGUUGUCCGGAUUUAUUGGGCGUAAAGAGUUCGUAGGUGGUUUGUUAAGUCUGAUGUUAAAGACUGAGGCUCAACCUCGGAAAUGCAUUGGAUACUGGCAGACUCGAGUGUAGUAGAGGCAAGCGGAAUUCCAGGUGUAGCGGUGAAAUGCGCAGAUAUCAGGAGGAACACCGGUGGCGAAGGCGGAUCUCUGGGCCUUACCUGACGCUCAGGUGCGAAAGCUAGGGGAGCGAACAGG
rnacentral:rRNA from 1 species